rnacentral:misc_RNA from 1 species
UAAAAAAAAAAUAAAUUGAAGCAAAACUUUCAACAACGGAUCUCUUGGCUCUGGCAACGAUGAAGAACGCAGCGAAACGCGAAAGGUAAUGCGAAUUGCAGAAUCAGUGAGUCAUCGAAUCUUUGAACGCACAUUGCGCCCUCUGGUAUUCCGGAGGGCACGCCUGUUCGAGCGCCAUUACACCCUCCAAGCUCUGCUUGAUGUUGGACGUUGCGAAGCGAUCAACUCUCCGUUUUGAACGGGGAGGGGGUUCACGCACGUCUGGAACGCGUGGGCGUCUGACCUGUCGAGACACCGCGAGCGUAGCAAGACUUUUU